rnacentral:lncRNA from 1 species
UCAACCUUCUGGAGCUCGUAACGAAGCGGGAACUAUAAACGAACAAAGUUCUGAAUUAAAAUUAAGAGUUGUAGACAUUCUAAGGUUUCGCUCCUUUAAUACAUAGAAUGCAAAAUUACCAAAAGGGACAUAACUAAACAUAAAAUAAAAUUCUGAUGUCUGAAAUAAUUGAAAAAAUGCGUGCAAUUAGAGAUAAUUUCCUAUCGAUCCGGAGGCCAAUAAGCUUUGAAAAGAAGUUAGCUCCGUCUUUCCAUAUGCUUCAAUAUUGUAUGUUAUACGCACAAAAUGGAUACCUGUAGCUCAAAUAACAACCUGGGAAGAUAAAGGUCAUGUUCUACGUCAACCCGAUUCCAGCAUCUUUGAUCUCUAUCGCAGAUUCGCAGAAUAGACGAAGCUCCAGUCACUAUUCUUUAUACCAUAUAUUAUUCCUAUACGCUUCAAUUCCUGCAGGGGAAGUGUUGCGAAUGAUUUGGUGUACAAAUGCUAAACCAAUCGCCUCAAGACCUAAUCCUAGUUAAAGACUAAUUAAUGAACUUAAGAACGAAAGUUUAAUCACACUUAAGGGAAAAUAAAGAUUGGGCCUUUUUGUUUGGAGAAACUAAGCAAAAUCCCCUUCAUGUUUUAAAAUAUAUCUAAACCACUCUAUUAGUUAAAAUGGUGUCAACUUUAUAUAUUAUUUUACUAUCUUAUCCCUAGUCCUGAUGUAGUGAUGGGUACGGUUCGGUUCGGUUCGGUUCGUUUUGUACUAAAUUUUUCAUAAUCGUUCGAUUACGAUUAUUUUAAAAUUAUAAUCACGAUUAAUCAAAUUACUGAAAUAAUUAAAUACUCAAUUAAUCGAAAUAAUUUGAUUUGAUUCGGUUCGAUUAUUUCGAUUAUUGGCGUAUUGGACUUAUUUUAGGCUUUUUUAAAUUUAAAACCUUAUACAUGAAUGGAUUGAACAAAACUAUCAAUCCUUUUCCUUAUCUCUUCUGGAUUGGCACCCACUAGCUUGUCGAAUACAAUUAAAUUGUAUAGGUUUCUCUUUUGUUUUAUCUUUUUCACCUAUAGUUCUAUCCAGGCUCCAGUAUUUAUUUGGUCAUUCUUAUUUCAUUUCCUUUUCAAUUUCAAGCUUUCAAAAUGUUGUGGGAUUCUUUUAUAAUUGUUUCAUUUUAUGAUAAUUAAUACUUGAGCGGUUUCUUAAUGUCAUUGAGUAUCUGCUUAAUGUCUAGAGUCUGCAGAUUGAGUUUCACUAACAUGUUCAUGCCUGCAGCUGCAACUAUUAACAUGAAAUCAUUUUUGAAGUUUUUCUGGAAUUUGAAUGGAAAUUAACUUGAACAAAAUAUUUAGAUGUUCAAUACAAGUCCUCUACUUGAACUCUGACCCAUCUCAGUGUUGAUAAAUGAAAACCAAAACAUUGAAACUGUUGGCAAGCUCAAAGUGAUUUCCACUGCAAUUUCAGAAGAAUGCCAAUAAUAUACACUUUACAAUAGUGAUUCUCAACGUAAGCAAUCUCAACACGAAUUGAUUUACAACUUAAAUUUCUUAAAACACAUCGAGCAUAAUUUGCUCUUAAAUCAUCAAAACAAAAAGGAUCGUGUGCUCUGAAACUUCAUCAUUGGCCAUUAAACCCGAACUAAUUGGACUCUCUAUAUACACACACACAACUUCAAUCAUCAACAUAAAACAAGAAAAACGAUAUGGAUUACAAUCAUCAAAGAAAGAAAUGAAAUAUGGAACCUUUUUCGUUUUAUUUUUUGUUCUGCUGAGAGUUUUUGGUGACAGUGGCAGCAGCAGCAGAUGACAGCGGCUGCAGCAGGUGGUAACGGCGGCGGAGACUCAGCGACGAGCAGCAGCGGCAAAUUAGAUUCGUGAAGGACGAGCAGCGGUGACGACUGAAGAGCUGGGGCAACGAGCAGUGGCGACGACGAGAUUGCAGUGGCGGCGACGAGCAGCGGGGACGAGAUUCCAGCGGCUGAAGGUGCUGCGGCUGAAGAAUGAAGAUAAGAAGAAGAAGUGUUUAGUUUAGAAUUUAGGGAUUGGUAUUUUUAAUUUCGGUUCAGUUUUUUGAUUUUUUUUUUAAAACCGAAAACCGAACCAACUGAUUUUACUACUUUUGUUAUAUUACUACUUUGGUUUUUUGGAUGCAAAACAAUCGCAUAAAAAUUCAGUUCGGUUUUUGAUUAAUCAACGUUUUUUGCCCACGCUUAG